GGAGAAAAACAUGCUGUUAGAUAAAGCAGAGCUGUAACUGCUGGCUAAGACUCAAUGGAACUUCCACUUGCUCUAAAACCAGGGAAAUCUUAGAUAACUGGGUGUGAUAUAUCUAUAGAUACACAUAGUCUAUAGGUAAAUAAUUUCUAAAAUGAGGAUCUUUCUCUUGGUGAUCCUCUGGUUUUGGCUGUACCAAAUUGUGAAUAUUCUUGCUGUGUUGUACCCAGUUACUUUAUAUUGAUACUGCAACUUGAAUUGGGGAGGGGGCGGUGGGACAUUUGGGGUGGGGGAGGGAGGGGAGUCUUUCGAAGACAUCAGCUCACUGUGCUGAGAGAGGGACCAAACUCAAGGAAACCUCUGAUCUAUAAAUUCAACUGCUGCAUUUUUUUAUAAAUACAUGUAAAUGUCCUGUUGUAAUAUUUGAUCUUGGAAAUAAAAUCAAAAACUUUUCAGUA
rnacentral:lncRNA from 1 species